rnacentral:rRNA from 1 species
GGGGAAUCUUGCACAAUGGGCGAAAGCCUGAUGCAGCCAUGCCGCGUGAAUGAUGAAGGCCUUAGGGUUGUAAAAUUCUUUCGCUAGGGACGAUAAUGACGGUACCUAGUAAAGAAGCCCCGGCUAACUUCGUGCCAGCAGCCGCGGUAAUACGAAGGGGGCUAGCGUUGUUCGGAAUUACUGGGCGUAAAGCGCGCGUAGGCGGAUUAACAAGUUGGAUGUGAAAUCCCAGAGCUCAACUCUGGAACUGCAUUCAAAACUGUUAGUCUAGAGGCCAGGAGAGGUCAGUGGAAUACCGAGUGUAGAGGUGAAAUUCGUAGAUAUUCGGUGGAACACCAGUGGCGAAGGCGACUGACUGGACUGGUACUGACGCUGAGGUGCGAAAGUGUGGGGAGCAAACAGG